UACAGAGGGUGCGAGCGUUGUCCGGAAUCACUGGGCGUAAAGGGCUCGUAGGCGGCCAACUAAGUCGGAUGUGAAAUCCCCGGGCUUAACCUGGGAACUGCAGUCGAGACUGUCUAGCUAGAGUAUGGGAGAGGGAAGUGGAAUUUCAGGUGUAGCGGUGAAAUGCGUAGAUAUCUGAAGGAACAUCAGUGGCGAAAGCGACUUCCUGGACCAAUACUGACGCUCAUGUGCGAAAGCGUGGGGAGCAAACAGG
rnacentral:rRNA from 1 species